rnacentral:misc_RNA from 1 species
CUUCAAUGAUGGCAAUCGAUUGUCUAAAAUAUAUUUUCGUCUUACGUUUCUCUCUUUGUAGAGGGACGUGAGGUGAACCAUGAAGUGAUCUCUAUUGCCCAAUCCACUCACAAUCCUUGUGCAUGUAGCUUGGAGCAUAGGAAUUUACUUGAUCUCUUGGAUGCGGUGCACUCUAUUUGGGCACGAGGAUUUCGUCCUCUUUCUGCCCAACAGUUGCUUCCGUUGCUUAAUUGCGAACGAUUGCGGUCAUCGUUUCGAGCCUCCUGGCAAGUGCGGUGAAGGCAUCGUUGAGG